rfam:Gossypium arboreum cultivar AKA8401 contig_14567_3, whole genome shotgun sequence.
AAACCAUGUAUCAGACAUUUCUAAUUAAUUCCUUGAAACGCUCCCAUGCUUCGUAUUAUGUCUCAUCUUCAAAUUUCCUGAACAAUGUAAUGUCAUACCUCAGCUU